UUUUGCCUUCUGAAAUACUCGGAGUCUCCAGUCUUUUGUUCAUGUCCUACAGCGACACUGGAGGGCCUGGAGCGGCCUGUGGAAGGAGUGGGCUCCUGCUGCUCCCCAAGAAAACCCAGCAGGACUCAGAAAUGCAAGGCAGGGUCCUCUCUAUGCUGAGAGGGGCUGGAGAGGGGCAGCAGGAGGGCGGAGGAGCCAAGCAGGUGUGAGGGGAAGGGCUCACCGCAGGCAGUGUGGUGAACGGGGCACUGGAGAACAGUCAGUGACUGCUGUGGGUUGGGGACAGCAGCGGUCACAGCCGAGCAAACGCUCCGAACGGGCUGUCCGGGGUGAGGGAUGGACUGGGGCAAGAACAGGGCUGUACGAGGCUGUAAGAGUCGGUCCAAAGAUCCCUCAUCUGUCUCACGAUUGUCAGAGGCUGAGACCCCAAGAACCCUAAACCACAGCACAGGAGUUCUGGCCUGACUGAGGUGGGACCCAGGUUCCUCCCUGCAGCUGCACUCAUUGGACCAAGACGUCCCCUCAGAGACCCGUGCAGGAGCACUGGGAACUGUCACGGUAUCUGGGCCAUGUUUGCUGAGCUGUGUUUGCUCUGACUGACUGUGCUGUACCUGCUGCAAAGCCCAGCCUGCCCUGCUUCUUCAUUGUGCAAGAAAACCUGCAACACUCACGAGAUCUCCCCUCCUUCCUGGCCUGCUGCCCCUUGCCCCGAAAAAAGACUAUAAUAAGCACCCCAAAAAAGAGAGUCUCUGAGGCCUCCCCGACAGACAAGACGGAUCUAUUGGCGCACCACGAGGACUGCAAAGGUGGUCUAUUGGCUCCAGUGCCACGAGGACUCGCGUCUGCUGGCGAUGGUCCGUGAGCAAAGGAGCUACAGAAGAGCAGCGCUGGGCAGGAGAGCUGCCAGCACCGGGGUGUUCGGAGGUGAUUUCCUGAACACAGGGCCCUGAGCAGGGACAGGCUCUCACUGCUUCCCACAAGCCUGUGGAAUUACACAGAUCCAGGAGGAUGAGAGCUUCUGGAUGAACUUUUGUAAACGAUUUUGGCCAGAAAAUAGAAAUAAAAUUUUAAAAAAACCAAAA